rnacentral:misc_RNA from 1 species
GUACUCUCACACUCUCUGAUCCUUUGGAUUUGGGGAGCGGUGGACUUGGGUGCUUGCUGCUUUCCUUGUGGCUCACCUCAAAUGCGUCAGUGCAUCUCUUGAUUGGACAUAGUACGGCGUGAUAAGUGUCUUCGCCGGCACCUCGUAAGAGGGUGGCCGAUUGGGAGCUCUGUGCUUUCAAACCGUCUUCGGACACUCCUGACA